rnacentral:rRNA from 1 species
ACUAUGGGCGGUGGAACACUCGGAUCUCGUGGAAACAAAGACCUCAUAAACCUGCGAUAAACUUUNNGAAUUGCAUAACCAUAUGUAAACAUCAACGUUUAGAACCCACAUGCUUUUCUAGGGGUAUGUGCGGGUCCAUUUUGUUUGAGAGCUAUUUUUUU